rnacentral:rRNA from 1 species
UACGUAGGUGGCAAGCGUUGUCCGGAUUUACUGGGUGUAAAGGGCGUGCAGCCGGAGAGACAAGUCAGAUGUGAAAUCCACGGGCUCAACUCGUGAACUGCAUUUGAAACUGUUUCCCUUGAGUGUCGGAGAGGUAAUCGGAAUUCCUUGUGUAGCGGUGAAAUGCGUAGAUAUAAGGAAGAACGCCAGUGGCGAAGGCGGAUUACUGGACGAUAACUGACGGUGAGGCGCGAAAGCGUGGGGAGCAAACAGG